CUACGGGUGGCACCAGUGAGGAAUAUUGCACAAUGGGGGGAACCCUGAUGCAGCAACGCCGCGUGGAGGAUGACGCAUUUCGGUGUGUAAACUCCUUUUAUAUGUCAAGAAAAUGACGGUAGCAUAUGAAUAAGCACCGGCUAGACUCCGUGCCAGCAGCCGCGGUAAUACGGAGGGUGCAAGCGUUACUCGGAAUCACUGGGCGUAAAGGACGCGUAGGCGGGUUGGAAAGUCAGGUGUGAAAUCCUACAGCUUAACUGUAGAACUGCACUUGAAACUUCUAAUCUAGAGUAUGGGAGGGGGAGAUGGAAUUAGUGGUGUAGGGGUAAAAUCCGUAGAUAUCACUAGGAAUACCUAAAGCGAAGGCGAUCUCCUGGAACAUUACUGACGCUAAGCCGUGAAAGCGUGGGGAGCAAACAGGAUUAGAUACCCUUGUAGUC
rnacentral:rRNA from 1 species